rnacentral:rRNA from 1 species
CGGGGUGCAGCAGGCGCGAAAACUUUGCAAUACACGAAAGUGUGACAGGGUCAUUCCGAGUGACGUCCGCUGAGGUCGUCUUUUACCCUGUCUAGAAAUAGGGGGGAAUAAGGAGAGGGCAAGUCUGGUGUCAGCCGCCGCGGUAAUACCAGCUCUCCGAGUGGUGUGGACGUUUAUUGGGCCUAAAGCAUCCGUAGCCGGUUGAACAAGUCCCCUGUUAAAUCCACCUACUUAAUAGAUGGUCUGCGGGGGAUACUGCUCGGCUAGGAGACGAGAGAGGCAGACGGUAUUCCCGGGGUAGGGGUGAAAUCCUAUAAUCCCGAGAAGACCACCAGUGGCGAAGGCGGUUUGCCAGAACGCGCUCGACGGUGAGGGAUGAAAGCUGGGGGAGCGAACCGGAUUAGAUACCCGGGUAGUCCCAGCUGUAGACGAUGCAGACUAGGUGUUUGGACGGCCACGAGCCAUUCCAGUGCCGCAGGGAAGCUGUUAAGUCUGCCGCCUGGGGAGUACGAUCGCAAGAUUGAAACUUAAAGGAAUUGGCGGGGGAGCACAAGGGCGAUUCGCG